AAUAGUCUUGCAAUCCUUCAUGAGUUGCCUCAGAUUAUACUUUGUGAAGUACAAUUGUUGAGAUAUACUUUCAGAUUUUUUUAGCAGAGUGGACAAACGAGGCUGGCAGUUCUGACAUGUUGGAAUCAGAACUGUCUGGAUGUGGUAUUCCUCCAUUGUGAAUCUCUGUAUAGGGGGAUCCACUGGUACUUUGAAUUGUGAAAGAGAUACAGUGUUCAAAAACCUAGGGGGUUUCCUGAUUUGGGCAUUGCCUUCCGUACACAAUAAAGGGAGUGGAGGACAGAUGAGGGGGAAAUGUGUCAUCCAGAGGAUAGCCUGAUAGAAUCAUAGAACUGUAGAGCUGGAAGGGAUCACAAGGGUCAUCUGGUGUAACCCCCUACAAUGUAGGAAUCAUUUGCCCAACAUAGGGCUCAAAUCCACAACCCUGAGAUUCUCAUGCUCUACCAACUGAGCUACCAGAACAGGGGUAAAUAAUAUCUGGGCAGAGGUUUAGGAGAUAGUCAUAGUGAGCAACAGAAAUGGCUCUAAUCAUUUGGACCAUAGGGACCAUCUUGGAGAGCACAUUGUAAAUUGCUUUGAGGUUACUUUUUAACAAUCAAGUGGUGUAUGAAUUUUAGGAAAUAAAGAAUAAGUAACGGAAAGCUUUCAGCUUUCUGUUU